CCAAGCAGAGAACAGCAUGUAUGAUGAUAUUAUUGUACAGAGUAAAAAAAAUAACUGCAAAAGCUAGGUAUACUAUCUUUUCACGACAAGCCUUCACGUUUUAUGUUAUUCGUUUUCUGUUAUUACAUUUUAAGCCCGGUUUGUUAUUGAACGUGGGAUUGCAGCGGUGGCCACCAUCAUCUCGACUUCAAUAGGCUGAUAUAGUUGGCCUGCGUGAUGUUUUAGAAAAAAUAUGUA
rnacentral:sRNA from 14 species